AUUGAACGCUGGCGGCAGGCCUAACACAUGCAAGUCGAACGGUAACAGGAAGAAGCUUGCUUCUUUGCUGACGAGUGGCGGACGGGUGAGUAAUGUCUGGGAAACUGCCUGAUGGAGGGGGAUAACUACUGGAAACGGUAGCUAAUACCGCAUAACGUCGCAAGACCAAAAAGGGGGACCUUCGGGCCUCUUGCCAUCGGAUGUGCCCAGAUGGGAUUAGCUAGUAGGUGGGGUAACGGCUCACCUAGGCGACGAUCCCUAGCUGGUCUGAGAGGAUGACCAGCCACACUGGAACUGAGACACGGUCCAGACUCCUACGGGAGGCAGCAGUGGGGAAUAUUGCACAAUGGGCGCAAGCCUGAUGCAGCCAUGCCGCGUGUAUGAAGAA
rnacentral:rRNA from 1 species